CAAAUGUGUAUACUCUCUAGUCACAAACUCUCUCUCAUGAUUCUUUCGGUCUCGCACUUCUCUCUCUUUCAAUCUUCACGUCUUCAAUUCGAUUCUUCUAAGUAAUAUCACAUACUUUACUUCUUGAACGAAGCGUAUUGAAGCUUGAAGUUUAAUAAAUUUGUGCUUUGAUUUGAUUUUUGGAACAUUGGAACUUUGGGUCGUUGGAUCUGAGAAGAACAGACAGAGAUGUGAUAAAGCAUCAAAGAUGAGAUACCUAUGCUAUGGCGCCAAAAAAGACAAAGGCAAAAAGAAAAUGGCUAUUUCUCAAGGGAUGAUGAUGGUGAUUGCGAUGAGGAAGAUUGAAAUGAAGCUACCUAGCUAGAUGAAUUAUUGGUAGGGAUGCUGAUUUUUUUUAAACAUUGCUUUUGUCUUUUGAUUGUUCAGCUGUAAUGUAUAUGAUUGUUGGCUUUUGCUAGCUUUUGGCUGAUUGUUUAGCUGUAACAUUUAUGUCGUACAUAAUUUUAUGACUGUCCUUUUGUAAAUAUAUGAAUGCUUGUUGGCUUUUAAAUUAUGUUGUACUAAAUUUUAAUGGAUAUGAUUCUUGAUUUUGGUUUUGAAA